GGCCUCGUAGCUCAGCUGGUAGAGCAUAUGCCGUGUUUGGGCAUGCUGUUCCGAUUGCUGGUUCGAAUCCAGCCGAAGUCC